AGGAUCCAGGUUCUGUUCCAUCACCUACUUGGUGGCUCACAACCAUCUCUAACUCCUGUUUAGGGAUAUUCACUAUCCUGACUUCUGGCCUCCAUGUACUUACUUAGGUACAUGUAGGCAAAACGCUCAUUCAAAAAAUAAAAACAAAUCUCUUUGAUUUUUUUUUUUUAAUUUAUUUUUUUCUUAAAGAUAAAAAAAGCUAGUUGUGAGACAGGUUGCAGAUAUAGUUGUGGUUGGCCUAGAAACUGUGAUGUAGAUAGAGUAAACUAGCCUCAAACUUCAAGCCUUUGUCCUGCUUCUACAGGAAGGAAUUACAGGCUUAUAUCACCCUAUGUUGUUGGGAGAAAAUACCAUACGGACUUUCAGUGUUUGUUGUUGUUGUUGUUGUUUUAGUGGUUCAGUACUUUAAUGUAAAGAUGGAACAGUAUAUAAACUAUUAACAUAUACUUAGGGAGUAGUAUAUUUUUCAUACACUUGGUCUUUUUUCUGGAAUAACUUAAUUUUUUUCAGGGAUGUAAAUUCUAUUCCCUUUGGUAAUAUGAACUUCAAUAUGAAAUUGUUUCUUGGAUUAAAAAUAAGUUUAUGGCAAGCUACCUCCUAACAAAGAGUCAUGCCAUAUCUAUAUUUUGAGGGGUUUUUGUUUUUUGUUUUUAUUUAUUUUUAAAUUUUAUUUAUUUUUAUUUUAUAUACAUUGGUGUUUUGACUGCAUGUAUGUCUUCCUGAAGGUGUUAUAUCCCCUAAAGCUGGAGUUAUAGACGGUUUUGAGCUGCCCAUGUAGGUGCUGGGAAUUGAACCCAGGUCCUCUAGAAGAGCAGCUAGUGCUCUUAACUGCUGAGCCAUCUCCUCAGUCCAUUAUCAUGAAUUUUAAAGGUAUUAUAUCGGUCUAAUUGAGCUAGUUAAAUUAUGAGAUGGAUUUUUGUUAUACCUUAUAUAUCAUUUUUUAAAUCUUUGUUGUUUAUAAGAAUUUUUAAUUUUUUUGUGUGUAGGAAUGUUUUUGACUGCAUGUAUUUAUAUAUCUCACGUGCAUACAUGGUACCUAUGAAGGUGGGGGGGGGGGGUCAGAGUCCCUGGAACUGGAGUAUAGACAAUUGUAAUUGUAAGCCACCACAUGGGUAUUGGGAACUGAACCUGGGUCCUCUGCAAGAGCAGCAAGUGGUAUUUACUGCCGAGCCGUCCCUCCAGCCCCCCUUUCUCUUUUUGUUGUUGUUGUUUUGUUUUGGUUUUUUUUAGAUAGUCUCACCUC
rnacentral:lncRNA from 1 species